UAGAAGCUGGAUUUUACAAUUUUCCACUCAGAUCUACUUAAUCAGAUUAUCUCAAGGUUUCUGAAGAUCACAGAACUUAACUAAAACAACAUAUUUGUCAUAAGCAAUUAAGAUUUAAGCAUUACUCUAGACUACGGAAUUCUUUUUGGUGUAAAGCAGGUAAAAGCUCUGUCCUGAUUACACACUGACCCGCUUUGGGAUGUGGAAUGCAGGUAACUCAUCAUGAGUCAAGGAAGGAAGAAGAUUCUUUCAGAAAGUUUCAACUAUGACAGAUGAAGGCAGAAAAAAAAAUAUGGAAGGUCAACAUAUUCUUGUUUUGAAAGUACAUUUCCUGUUUUUAGCACAAUUAUCCCUUAGUAUGCUUCAUUUAUCAUAAAGAUGUAAUGUUAAAGGAUUAAUAACUAACAGUCUGGAAUCUUUGAGAAUCGGCAGCAAAUUGAUGACAUACUCAAUCCAGAAGAAUGUUAUGGUCUUAAGGCAUCCAGAUGUAGUUUCAAA
rnacentral:lncRNA from 1 species